rnacentral:rRNA from 2 species
UCUCACAGACGAACGCUGGCGGCGUGCCUAAUACAUGCAAGUCGAACGAACUCUGGUAUUGAUUGGUGCUUGCAUCAUGAUUUACAUUUGAGUGAGUGGCGAACUGGUGAGUAACACGUGGGAAACCUGCCCAGAAGCGGGGGAUAACACCUGGAAACAGAUGCUAAUACCGCAUAACAACUUGGACCGCAUGGUCCGAGCUUGAAAGAUGGCUUCGGCUAUCACUUUUGGAUGGUCCCGCGGCGUAUUAGCUAGAUGGUGGGGUAACGGCUCACCAUGGCAAUGAUACGUAGCCGACCUGAGAGGGUAAUCGGCCACAUUGGGACUGAGACACGGCCCAAACUCCUACGGGAGGCAGCAGUAGGGAAUCUUCCACAAUGGACGAAAGUCUGAUGGAGCAACGCCGCGUGAGUGAAGAAGGGUUUCGGCUCGUAAAACUCUGUUGUUAAAGAAGAACAUAUCUGAGAGUAACUGUUCAGGUAUUGACGGUAUUUAACCAGAAAGCCACGGCUAACUACGUGCCAGCAGCCGCGGUAAUACGUAGGUGGCAAGCGUUGUCCGGAUUUAUUGGGCGUAAAGCGAGCGCAGGCGGUUUUUUAAGUCUGAUGUGAAAGCCUUCGGCUCAACCGAAGAAGUGCAUCGGAAACUGGGAAACUUGAGUGCAGAAGAGGACAGUGGAACUCCAUGUGUAGCGGUGAAAUGCGUAGAUAUAUGGAAGAACACCAGUGGCGAAGGCGGCUGUCUGGUCUGUAACUGACGCUGAGGCUCGAAAGUAUGGGUAGCAAACAGGAUUAGAUACCCUGGUAGUCCAUACCGUAAACGAUGAAUGCUAAGUGUUGGAGGGUUUCCGCCCUUCAGUGCUGCAGCUAACGCAUUAAGCAU